rnacentral:rRNA from 1 species
GAUGAACGCUGGCGGCGUGCCUAAUACAUGCAAGUCGAGCGAACAGAUAAGGAGCUUGCUCCUUUGACGUUAGCGGCGGACGGGUGAGUAACACGUGGGUAACCUACCUAUAAGACUGGGAUAACUUCGGGAAACCGGAGCUAAUACCGGAUAACAUUUGGAACCGCAUGGUUCUAAAGUGAAAGAUGGUUUUGCUAUCACUUAUAGAUGGACCCGCGCCGUAUUAGCUAGUUGGUAAGGUAACGGCUUACCAAGGCGACGAUACGUAGCCGACCUGAGAGGGUGAUCGGCCACACUGGAACUGAGACACGGUCCAGACUUCUACGGGAGGCAGCAGUAGGGAAUCUUCCGCAAUGGGCGAAAGCCUGACGGAGCAACGCCGCGUGAGUGAUGAAGGGUUUCGGCUCGUAAAACUCUGUUAUUAGGGAAGAACAAAUGUGUAAGUAACUGUGCACGUCUUGACGGUACCUAAUCAGAAAGCCACGGCUAACUACGUG